AACCUUACCUGGUCUUGACAUCCACGGAAUUCGGCAGAGAUGCCUUAGUGCCUUCGGGAACCGUGAGACAGGUGCUGCAUGGCUGUCGUCAGCUCGUGUUGUGAAAUGUUGGGUUAAGUCCCGCAACGAGCGCAACCCUUAUCCUUUGUUGCCAGCGGUCCGGCCGGGAACUCAAAGGAGACUGCCAGUGAUAAACUGGAGGAAGGUGGGGAUGACGUCAAGUCAUCAUGGCCCUUACGACCAGGGCUACACACGUGCUACAAUGGCGCAUACAAAGAGAAGCGACCUCGCGAGAGCAAGCGGACCUCAUAAAGUGCGUCGUAGUCCGGAUUGGAGUCUGCAACUCGACUCCAUGAAGUCGGAAUCGCUAGUAAUCGUGGAUCAGAAU
rnacentral:rRNA from 1 species